rnacentral:tRNA from 1 species
GCCGGGAUGGUGGAACUGGCCAGACACGGCGGACUUAAAAUCCGCCGGGCGCAAGCCCGUGCAGGUUCGAGCCCUGCUCCCGGCACCG